AUUUUUGUAUCAGCAUGAGGCGGGCUGGACCUCUCGGGGUUACAGCCUUGCUGAAUUAUUCACCCUUGUCUUUUGCGUACUUCUUGUUUCCUUGGUGGGUUCGCCCACCACUAGGACAAACAUAAACCUUUUGUAAUUGCAAUCAGCGUCAGUAACAAAUUAAUAAUUACAACUUUCAACAACGGAUCUCUUGGUUCUGGCAUCGAUGAAGAACGCAGCGAAAUGCGAUAAGUAGUGUGAAUUGCAGAAUUCAGUGAAUCAUCGAAUCUUUGAACGCACAUUGCGCCCUUUGGUAUUCCAAAGGGCAUGCCUGUUCGAGCGUCAUUUGUACCCUCAAGCUUUGCUUGGUGUUGGGCGUCUUGUCUCUAGCUUUGCUGGAGACUCGCCUUAAAGUAAUUGGCAGCCGGCCUACUGGUUUCGGAGCGCAGCACAAGUCGCACUCUCUAUCAGCAAAGGUCUAGCAUCCAUUAAGCCUUUUUUCAACUUUUGACCUCGGAUCAGGUAGGGAUACCCGCUGAACUUAAGCAUAUCAAUAAGACGGAGGAA
rnacentral:rRNA from 1 species